UACAGAGGGGGCAAGCGUUGUCCGGAAUCAUUGGGCGUAAAGGGUGCGUAGGCGGCGCGGUAAGUCGGGUGUGAAAUCUCCGGGCUUAACUCGGAAAGGUCAACUGAUACUGUGCGACUAGAGUGCGGAAGGGGCAACUGGAAUUCUCGGUGUAGCGGUGAAAUGCGUAGAUAUCGAGAGGAACACCUGCGGCGAAGGCGGGUUGCUGGGCCGACACUGACGCUGAUGCGCGAAAGCCAGGGGAGCGAACGGG
rnacentral:rRNA from 1 species